rnacentral:rRNA from 1 species
UUUCCAGAGAUGGAUUGGUGCCUUCGGGAACUGUGAGACAGGUGCUGCAUGGCUGUCGUCAGCUCGUGUUGUGAAAUGUUGGGUUAAGUCCCGCAACGAGCGCAACCCUUAUCCUUUGUUGCCAGCGAUUCGGUCGGGAACUCAAAGGAGACUGCCAGUGAUAAACUGGAGGAAGGUGGGGAUGACGUCAAGUCAUCAUGGCCCUUACGACCAGGGCUACACACGUGCUACAAUGGCGCAUACAAAGAGAAGCGACCUCGCGAGAGCAAGCGGACCUCAUAAAGUGCGUCGUAGUCCGGAUUGGAGUCUGCAACUCGACUCCAUGAAGUCGGAAUCGCUAGUAAUCGUGGAUCAGAAUGCCACGGUGAAUACGUUCCUGGGCCUUGUACACACCGCCCGUCACACCAUGGGAGUGGGUUGCAAAAGAAGUAGGUAGCUUAACCUUCGGGAGGGCGCUUACCACUUUGUGAUUCAUGACUGGGGUGAAGUCGUAACAAGGUAACCGUAGGGGAACCUGCGGUUGGAUCACCUCCUUA